GUUUGAUCCUGGCUCAGAAUGAACGCUGGCGGCGUGCUUAACACAUGCAAGUCGAACGAGAAAUCCUCUGCUUGCAGAGGAGAGUAAAGUGGCGCACGGGUGAGUAACGCGUGGGUAAUUUACCCUUGGAUUUGGGAUAACAUUUCGAAAGGGGUGCUAAUACCAGAUAAUAUCCUGAUGAUUUUGGUUAUUAGGAUCAAAGAUAGCCUCUACAUGUAAGCUAUUGUGCAAGGAUGAGCCCGCGUACCAUUAGCUAGUUGGCAGGGUAAAGGCCUACCAAGGCGAUGAUGGUUAGCUGGUCUGAGAGGAUGAUCAGCCACACUGGAACUGAAACACGGUCCAGACUCCUACGGGAGGCAGCAGUGAGGAAUUUUGCGCAAUGGGGGAAACCCUGACGCAGCAACGCCGCGUGAGUGAAGAAGGCUUUCGGGUCGUAAAGCUCUGUCAAGAGGGAAGAAGGUAGAUGGUGGUAAUACUGCUGUUUAUUGACGGUACCUCUGAAGGAAGCACCGGCUAACUCCGUGCCAGCAGCCGCGGUAAUACGGGGGGUGCAAGCGUUAUUCGGAUUUAUUGGGCGUAAAGAGCGCGUAGGCGGUUUAUCAAGUCAGAUGUGAAAGCCCUGGGCUUAACCUGGGAAGUGCAUUUGAAACUAGUAGACUUGAGUAUGGGAGAGGGGAGUGGAAUUCCUGGUGUAGAGGUGAAAUUCGUAGAUAUCAGGAGGAACACCGGUGGCGAAGGCGACUUCCUGGACCAAUACUGACGCUGAGGCGCGAAGGCGUGGGGAGCAAACAGGAUUAGAUACCCUGGUAGUCCACGCAGUAAACGGUGAUCACUAGGUGUAGCGGGUAUUGACCCCUGCUG
rnacentral:rRNA from 1 species